GACGAAGGGGGCUAGCGUUGCUCGGAAUUACUGGGCGUAAAGCGCGUGUAGGCGGCUGUUCUAGUUGGGCGUGAAAGCCUUGGGCUUAACCCAAGAAAUGCGCUCAAUACUGGAUAGCUAGAGGACCGGAGAGGAUAGUGGAAUUCCCAGUGUAGUGGUGAAAUACGUAGAGAUUGGGAAGAACACCAGUGGCGAAGGCGGCUAUCUGGACGGUUUCUGACGCUAAGACGCGAAAGCGUGGGGAGCAAACAGG
rnacentral:rRNA from 1 species